rnacentral:rRNA from 1 species
ACUCAAAUGAAUUGACGGGGGCCCGCACAAGCGGUGGAUUAUGUGGUUUAAUUCGAAGCAACGCGCAAAACCUUACCUAGGCUUGAAAUCCCACGAACCCGGCCCAAAAGCUGGGGUGCUCUUCGGAGAAUGUGGUGACAGGCGCUGCAUGGCUGUCGUCAGCUCGUGUCGUGAGAUGUUGGGUUAAGUCUCGCAACGAGCGCAACCCCUAUCCUUAGUUGCCAGCAUUAAGUUGGGCACUCUAGGGAGACUGCCUGGGCUAACCAGGAGGAAGGUGGGGAUGACGUCAAGUCCUCAUGGCCCUUAUGUCUAGGGCUACACACGUAAUACAAUGGUCGGUACAGAGGGAUGCGAACUCGCAAGGGGGAGCAAAUCUCAAAAAACCGAUCUCAGUCCGGAUUGAAGUCUGCAACUCGACUUCAUGAAGUUGGAAUCGCUAGUAAUCGCGGAUCAGCACGCCGCGGUGAAUACGUUCCCGGGCCUUGCACACACCGCCCGU